GCUGACCUGGGAGUGGUGGUGACACUGGGAAGCUGCUGACCUGGGAGUGGUGGUGACACUGGGAAGCUGGUGACCUGGGAGUGGUGGUGACAGUGGGAGGCUACUGAUCUGGGAGUGGUGGUGACACUGGGAAGCUGGUGACCCGGGAGUGGUGGUGACAUCGGGGAGGUGGCUGUCCUGUGCGGCCGGGCAGUCUCACCUGCGGGGCAGCCCCAUGCAGCCCAGCCUUAGUGCGCUCGGAGUCCUCAGGGCCUCUCUUGACUGUCAGGAGAACAGAAAUCUGAGAAAGUGUGACUGCAGAUGUUGGGAUUAGGUAAUUUGGCAAGUUAGAAGGAUGGCCUUAUCAUCAACGUUCUGUAUUCUUAGAAUAAACGUUAUUUGAAAAGUCUUGAAGAGUCAGAAACGUAGAGGGGAUGUAAUGCACAAACUGCCAGGUUGCCCGCUUGGAGCAGUUAAAACGGACUUCAGUGAUUUUACACGGGUUUUACCGAAAUGACUGUGUGGUGCUUUUUAUGAGAAUACUAAUUCAUCUGCUUUGGCUUUUGAGUGAAUUCAGAAUUAUGCCUUUCUCUCUACCUGACUGCUUAUAGAAUGAUUUUUACUUGGAUUUAAAGGAAAUUGUGGCGAAACUAGGCUGUUCAAGUCCCAAUUUAAAAAAAUGGGGGGGAUGGCUUCAGGUGGCAUAUUUGAUGAUUUGAAAGCAUUAAAUUGUUUUAUUAGCCCAUAGAAGAAGCGAUUACUUCCUCAUUAUUUUUUAAGAUGAUGGUAAGAAACGUCAUUUAGUGUUACCAGAGGUCAAUGUCGUUAAAGAUUCAACUUCUUUGUAGUGCAGGUUGUCUUUUCAGCUUUAAAGACACACUUUGCUAGGUUUAUUCGCUAUGUUUUACCCCAUUUGGUUUGCACUAAGGAUUCACAUCCACUUGGAGGUUUAGACACUAAUUUUAUCCUGUUUUCUCUUCUAGAAAUGCAGAGUAUUUAGUUGUGACUGGUAUUAUCAGCAUGCCAAUUUGCAUUUUGUACAUUUGGAAGAUGAGGUGCAUCUCUCUGAGGUUAAAUCUUUAGCAAUUGCUACACUGAGAAUUCUGUUAUUUUUCUUAAAAUAACGACAUAAAAAUAAAGAAAAAUCCAUUAAAAAAAAAAGAACCUGCCCACUUAAAAAGAGUGAGCAUCUCUCAGUUUUAGUUAAUUAUUCAAAUAAUUUUUGUAAAAUAUUUAAAUGAAAAUAAAUAAGUCUGGUGACUCAUAAAGCCAAGUCUAGCAUUGAUAGAGUAUAAAAAAUGCACAGGAGAAACAGAUUCCUUCUGCUUUUCACUCUGUAAACCAUAAUCCCUAAUGUUAGAUUUGGUCACGUGUGUACGCAUUAUUAUGAUUGAGCAUCUGUUUUAUUUUCUUCAAAAAUAUUUAAAAUUUUAUUUAUUUGCUUUUGAGCAGAUAAUAUAGCACAUGGCUUAAUAUUUAAAAGGAACAGAAAUAUUUACAGCAAAAAGUCCCUCUCCCAUCUGUCCAUCAGUGACCCUGCUCCCCCAAUUCCUCAGAGGCCACUGGUGUCACCAAUUGCUUGCAUAUCCCUCCAGAGAGAGUUUAGCAUAUACAGGCAAAUAUUAAUAUAAAUGUUUACCCUUCAUAGAAAUGGUAGCACUUGGUGCUCGAUGUUCCAUAUAUUUUUUUAAACUAAUAUCCUAGGCCCUUUCAGAACAUCCCAUUCAAAUCUUUUGCUAUAAUAUACAGUGCUAUGAUGAAUAAGCCUGUAUACAUUUCAAGUAUGUGUGUGUGUGUGUAUAUGUGCGUGUACACUUACAGGAUCAAUUCCUGAAAGUGGAAUUGCUGGGUUAAAGGAUAUGUGCAUUUAUAAUUACGAAGCUUGUUAAAUUUCCUUCUGUGCAUCUUGUAUUCCGUGUGUGAGAAAUUAUUUUUUCCCAUGCUUUUAUUUGAAGUCUGUCCAGAUGUUCAGUUUUUGCCAGCCUGACAGAUAAAUGUGGUAUCUGAGGAUCGUCUGAAUUUGUAUUUCUUUGGUUGUGCAUGAAGUUGAGCAUCUUAAGUCUUAAGUCUUAAGUCUGUACGUGUUCUUUUCCGUGAACAGUUUGCCCUUUCCAUUUUUCUAUUGAGUUGUUAAUUUCCUUCCUACAAAUUUGCAUGUACUUUUUAUCAGGGAACUUAGCCUUUUAAAUAUGAAUGUUUUUCUUAGUUGGUUGUUUGUCUUACGACUUUGUUUAUGGUGGCUUUUGCUAUACAGAAAGUGGUUUUUACGCAAUUGAAUUUAUCAACCUUUUAUUUUGUGACUUCUUAGGUUUAUGUUAUGUCUUGGCCUUUCCACUCUGCAAUAUUAAGCAAAAAAGGAAAAAGUCUCAUAUUUUCUUCAGUUUUUUGUUUGCUUCAUUUUUCACAUUUAACCCUGUGAUCUGUUAGAAGUUAUUUUGGUGGACGUUCAGAGGUAUACGUCUUGCUUUCUUUUUUCUCCCUCACUCCCCUCCGCCGCCCCGUGGAUACAGAAAUUGAAUCUUAAAUCAUUCAUUUAAUCAUCACGGGAAUGAUCCCAUUUUGCACUUCUUGGAUUUGAAGAAACAAUUUAAAAGUGCGUACUUCAUAAAUAGUUUUGCUCAUGUAUUUAUUUAAACUUAUUUAUCUGGAGACACAUUAGAAAUGGACUGAAGUAUGUAAAUAUCUUAUGAUAUAGUAUGUGAAAUAUAGUAUAUUAACUUAACACAUUAAAUUAUAAUUAUAUGUAGAUUAUAUGGAGGAAAAAAAGCAUUUCAAAUAUUCUGAAUAAUACCCUGGUUGUAAAUAUGUCGGUGGGUUUAGAGUUCACUAAACGGAGGUGUGUUUACACACAUAUAAAUAUUGUUCACAAUUAUAAAUUGUGCAUGAAAUACAUGUGAGAGGACUUUAUUAGUGAAAUCUGGAGAUAACUGCAUCUUUUAAUCAUCAGAUAAGACAAUUUUUGUUGUUACAUUUAUUUUUAGUUACUAAACUGGAGCUUCAGAUUUCUGAAAUGGAUAAUUAAAUGAUUGUGAAUGUUAUUUCAGAUCUAGUUAAUUAUAUGUGUAAUUAUGUGUACAAUUAUAUGUACAAUGAGAAUAGGCUUGUUCCAUUAUUUAUGUAGUUCAGAUUAGGAAAUUUGAGUAGUAAUUAAAAUUAAGGGACUGUAAUGCCAGAGCUAUUGCAAACCAGUGCUGCAAGCAGAUGUUCUGGAAGACCUUCUGGAAGAGGGUCUCACUGUGAGUUAUACCUGUGCUGGUCACCUCUGACCUUGAAGCGUCUGCAGUGAUUAUUUUUGCUGCCCUUUCUUUAGGCUGCUUUUAAAAUAGGGCGAUAAAUUUUAUAAAUCAGCAUCCAGAUAUGUUCUAAAGCAUCUUCUUAAUGUCUCAGUACCCUGAAAAAAUAUUGGUAUUUCUAAAAGAAUUUAGAGUUACAAAUAUAGCAACAGAAAAAAAUUUUCAAAAAACCUCUUUUGGUUCCCACCAAGAGCAGAAGUUUGAGAUGUUUACAAAGCAUAAAGGAUUAAAUAUGAUUAUGUUUUAGCUAUGAUUUUGAGAAUAAGGUAUUUGUGUUUUCCACUCAGGGAUAUGGGUAUGUUUGAAAAGAUGUUAAUGCUAUUAUUAUAUUGAUGAUUUGGGAGUAACAUAAAUAAUCACAAAUUGUUAUGUUUAGCGUAAACUCAUGGUACUUAAUUGAGCACUGUUCACUCAUUUUCAUUAAAGAUGCCAACCUUUAAUUAAACAUGCAUACCUUAAUUAAAGCUUUAUUCAGACAGUUUCCUAGGGUUAUCCCUGUGUUGUAUUUCUUGUGGUUCUUGAAGGAAUAUCACAUUAAAGAAGCCUUCUUUUUAUACUUUUGGAUUUCAACCCAGCAGCAGUUUUGCUCAGGUUAUCAUGCUGAUUUUAACUGCUGAAUUUUAUCAUAAUAGCAAAGCAGGAGUGUUGAGAUGCUUUGGUGUGUAUUUUGGUAGAUGACGAGUCCAAGAACUUGAGUGAUGAGUAGUUAAGUAUUUUAAUUACUUGUUUUAAUAAGAGCAGAGUGAUGAUUGUGCAUUUAUUUACUGUGCAUCAUACACAUUUUUCAAAUUUAAAAUCAUUAGUUUAAAAAUAAUAAGGCAGUUGCCUUAUUUAGUUUGGGAAACAUUUAUGAAACACGUAAGUUAGGCUGAAGACUGAAUUAAUAAUUAGGUCCUCUUUGAAGAAAUGGAGAAUUCCAAGUUGGGAGCAGAAAAUUUGCAGGAUGAGUAUGGCAUCCUUUGUCCCACUAGAAGGCAAGGAAGUUACCAAGGAUUAGGACUCAGGAGGGAACCAACUUGAAGAGGCUUCCACGGGACCAGUGAUGGGGACAGUUUGAUCAUCAGUAAGAAUGAAGUGUCAGUGGACUGAAAUCUCCAAAUCCAUGAAUUCAUAAUAAUGAUUACCAAGAAAAAAAGAAAUGUGUCUCUUUUGUUGGAUGCUAGGGAACUGAUGUAUUCUUUUAAGAUCCAGAAAAUAAGGAGAAAGAAUGAAACAGUGUGGUUUUCUCAGGGUAAGCAAGUGCUCAACAAGGGAAAGUUUCUUUUUUAUAAAAGGUGUUUUACCCCAGCUAAUGUGUGGAGAAGGGAUGAUUGAAUAAGUGUGUCACAAUUUUACAGCUCCUCAUGAAUUAAUGGCUAUAAAAUCCAGACAGUGAUUUAUCAGUGGCUACCAAUGUCUCAAAAGGAAGGGCAGUCAGACAUAAUGUACUUCCUGCUGGAAAUAUUCAUUGCUACUAAUUAACAGUCACCAAAAAACCAAACCUGAGUAUGAUAGGCUUUUAGGUCUAACCAGCAUUUUACAGAAAAUACAGGGGACAGAGGAAUGUGGGGAUGCAAUGAGCAAAAUUCUAAUUAUGGGAAAUUUCAGAACAAACGGCCUAGUUUCUUCAAAAAUACAUUAUAAGAAGAGGAAAAAAGUGGACGAGAAGUCUAGAGAAUAAAAGAAAUUUAGGACACAUAUUAUCUAAUCAUAAUGGUAGACUUCACUGAUUAAAUAAUUGUAAAAAAUAAAAGUUUAUGAGACACUUGAGGAGAUGUAAAUACCAACUGGAUACAUGUUGAUAUGAUGGAAUUAUUAUUUUAAAGGACUUAGAUGUGACAAUGGUUGUAAUGGGGUUAAGUUUAUAAAGCGGCUCUGUCUUUCAGAGAAACGUUUUAAAGUAUGCUAUUUCUAGACGAAGUGAUGUGAAGUCUGGGGUUGCUCCGGAAUAAUCGAGGUGGAUGGGAGGAACGCGUGGAGGGUAGACUUGACAUAAUACUGGUUGUGAGUAAUUGUUGUCAUUGGUUGGGUCGUGACACUACUGUAUUUACUUUUGUGAUACUAUUGUAUUUUAUGUAUAUCCUAAAAUUUCGAUGCUAAGAAAGAUCCAGUCAUAGCCUUCAAGAGUUUUGAAAGAGCUAUACAUAAAAUAGCAGUACCGCAGGAUAGUAAGAGCCAUACCGUAGGUGUGUGUAUGUUGCUGUGGGAUGUGUAGUGUGGGGUCAGGGAAAGGCAGGAGGGGGAAGCUAGAACCUGGGCCAGGCAGACGGGCGGCCAGCCCCGCAGGCGGGAGAGCAGCAAGCCCAGGGUGCGGAGCAGUGGACGCAGAUGGCCCGCUGUGGGGGCUGCCGGUGGGGAGACAGGCUUUCGUGUUGGAGCUGGGAUGGCGCAGAGGAAGGAAGGAGUUAGAGGGUGGCUGCUUGGGAGAGACAGUCAAAGGAAGGUUUUCCUUUUUUUUUUUUUUUUAACUUGAAUUAAAAUUUUGAAUUCCUUGACAAGUUUAAACUGUUGUUUAGAGAGAUCUCUGACCAGAGUUGGUAAAGUUUCAUCUUCAGAAGUUACCUUGUUGAUGACUUAAGUUCAUCCUCCCUCUUAACCCACUCCCGUCUAGAAUGAGUGAAUGGCCAGCAAAAUUUUGUUCUCCUCAGCCCUGGUAGCUUAUGGCUGUACCCUUAGUGAAGGAAUCUAGACCCCGACAUGUGCUCUCUGCCUCACCCGUCAUGUGGAAGCCUUUACUGCCCUGCUGGAGACCGUGCAGACGCCUGUCUGUCCCCACGUAAGGGAUGUGGCGGAUCGCUGAAAGUUCCCACCUGCGUGCGCUUGUCUGUGCCAGAGAAGUCAAACUGAUUUCUGUAGAGAAUUUGCCUGAAAAUAGAUGUUGACAUGCACUUCCUGAAAUUAUAAGCAGAUGAAAGGCUAAUAUAUGCAUACUGCCUUUUCCUAAGUCAAAGCAAUUAAAAGCUUUAUGUAGCUUUUAUACAGUUAGAAAGAGUGAUACCUCUUCCCAGUUUAAAAAUGCAGCACAAAACCACUAGAAUAAGCUCACCUGUCUGUAGUCACAAAACCAGUUUUGUCUGUUGGACUUUUUUGUUUUCAGCAAUCCUGAAUCUUACUGAUGUGGACUAAUUUAUUUCCCAAUAGUAUAGUCUGUAGUUUCCAAAAUGAAGUGUAAAAUAUGAACCAAUUAAGUUGAGUGACCAAAACUCCUGACCAAGGAUGGGAUUUCAUGAGCUGUGUUUUUAUAAUCCAGUCAGACUGGCAGGUGCCCUCGAGAGAGAGAUGUAUGACUGAACCAGUGAGGAGAAAUGGCUGCCCAUUGUCUUAAAAUAUCUUUUUCCCCAUAAAAGUCAUACAUACUCACAGAAAACAAAAUCUAGCUGGUGAUGAAGAAUGACACAAGUCACUUACAAUGCAGUUCACCAGGUUUUAGUGCCUCUUUGUUACUCAGUCAGCAUUAAUGCCGCAGUCAAGCUAUAUGUGUGUGUGUGUGUGUGUGUGUGUGGGUUUUAAUCAUUUGAUUCUAAUAAACUUGUACUUAAAAUUGUAAGUAACUUGAAACGAUUUGAGCAGAUACAAAUGCCUCAUUAGGAGAAAUCAGUGAAUAAAUGCUAGUGAAUUACUUAAAAAGAAACCACUUAUAAGAAAUCCGAGUGCUGACGGCUAGUAGCUACUGAGCGCGUCUGUCCCGGGCGUUGUUCUGAGUGCUGCGCAAGCUCGCUUAAUCCCCACGACCCUACCGGGUGGGCACUGCUGUCCACCAUUUUACAGGUGGAAGUUCUUUCUUUCCUCUUUGGCUGGAUUUGUGUGGCGGGCACGGGGACUGUCUUACAGCAGAGUCAGCUGGCUGACCCCCUCCCAAAAGGCCCUGCCAGCCUGACCCCAGGCUUGUGUCCUCGGUUUUCCUCAACGACCUUGGGAGGAGUGGCCUGUCUAUGAGCUAGGUUCUCAUUGGCGCCUCUACCUCCUCUGAUUCUUAUACCAAGAUUCAAACUGGAGUUUUGUUCAGUAGAAAUUGUCACUGGGUUCAAAGUUCUUUGCUUCUGGCACUAACCUUCAUUUCCACAUACAUGCUUCAUCUUUUUGGUGAAACUAGAAAAUUGGCCCCCAUGGUGACAAUUUUGCAAAAAGCAUUUCUUACAUGUCUUUUUUUUUGCAACUAGGAGAAAGUUCAGCUCCCUUUUGAUUUAAUUAAUUUUAAAAUUCAUCUAAUUUUUUUUGUUUUAAAAUAACCUUACCUUUUAUUUCUUUAAUGUGUUUAGUUUUUUUAUUUUUAACAUUUUAGGAUUGGAAAGGACCUUAACGUUUUCUAGCCUAGUGGCUAAAUGACCUUUAAGUUUUUCAACUAUAAUCUACAGUUAGAAAUAACAUUUUCUGUUGUGACAGAGAUGUGAUAGGAAGAAUUUUAAAAACGGCCUUCCCUGCUUUCCCACCCUAAUCCCCCAGGGCUUCAAGUUUGAUGAGCUAAUAUGCCCAUGAUCAUUAUGUUACAUGGCAAAUGAGAUUUUGCAGAUAUAAUGUAAGGUUUAAGAUGUAAUCAUUGGACUUUGAACUAGACGAAAGGGAGAUUAUCCAGGUGGGCAUAGUCUAAUCACAUGAGACUUUAAAACCAGAUGUUUCUCUGCCUCACAGCAGAGAGAUUUGAAGGACGAGAGGGACUUAUCAUGCUGUUGCUGGCUUGAGGGUGGACUGACCGUGUGAGAAGGAAUAUGAAAAGUCGUGAGGAGCUGAGAGAGAGGCUCAGGGCUGAGAGCCACCAAAGAAACAGGGACCUCAGUGCUACAGCCACAGGGAGCGGAAUCUGGCCAAUAACCUGAAUGAGCCUGGAAGCAGAUUCUGCCCAGAUGAGAACCCAGCCUGGCUGGCACCUUGAUUUUGGCCUUGAGAGAUUCUAAGCAAAAAACCCAGUCAACCCCACCUGGACUUUUUAUAGAACCAUGAACUCAUAAAUAAGUGUUGUUUUUAAACCUCUAAGUUAGUAGCAAUUUUUUAUACAGCAGUAGAAAAUGCAAGGCUGUUUUGCAACUAUAUGAAGAAAUUCUAUGGAAGAAAUGGAAAUCUUAUAAUGAAAAAAUUAGAAUUAAAAGAUACAAAUACAACCUGAUAACAGUCAUAUAAAAAUUUAUAUGGAAAAAGACCAGCAGGGGAUAUACAAAGAUGCUCAUGGUUCUAGGUUAGGAAGUUUUUAUUUUCCAUUUCUUUGUUAUGAUGUUACUUUUUAUAAUUAAAAUAAACUUAUAUUAAUAUAUAAUUUUUAAUAAACUUACUUAUGUAAAACUAAGAACUUAAUUUCAUUUGGGAAUUUAUUACUGGGAACUUGCAAAUUCACAGGCCUGAAGGACUCUUGCUGGCACGUGUUACACGUGAAAAGCUUGUUGGUAGCUGGAAGCGGCAGGUGAUAAACUAAAACCUCUGUGUUCCCUGGCAUUCCCCGCAUCACUGAUUUGCUGAGGAAGCAGCUUUUGCUGUCCUAUGUUGUUGAGGGGAAUACACAGGCCUGCACACUUUUGGAAAGAGAUUCUGUGGGGAGAUCGAGAUGUGGCCGUUGGAAGGGUAGGUUAGGGUAGUGCGUGUUUGGCCUUUAAAGUAAAGCUGUGAGAGGCCCUGUGCCAGCUGUUACUUGUCUUCAAGCCACUUGAGGUGAUUUAGCCUCCGCAAGGGGCUCUGUUGCAGGGUCGUGUAGGUUAAGUUGUGUUAUCAGAGCUUUUCCUGUGCACAGUUGAGGAAACAGGACAGCAGCCUUCCUAACUGCCCGGUCUGACUGCGUCCCUGCUGCUGAGCUGCUGUGAUCGCGCGGGAAAGGGUGAGUCACACAGGAGGAAGGAACUGCACUCAGGACCUCGACAAACACUCUGGGUGCGGCGGCGUGCUGGGUGUACGCCUCAGACAGGUGGAGCGUCUCCUUGAAUGCAGUGAGGUGCCACGUGCCACGGUUGUUGCUGCUGUUGGUUCUAACCUGCAGGCUUCCUGUGUCUGUUGCUCAGGAGCGCUGAAGGCUCUUCUUAAAGAGGAGUCUCAGCGGGGAAAGGAUAGUAUUGCCUUGUGAAGGGGAAACCCUAGCCUGUAGUCAGUUUUUGUAUGAAACUGAUUUAUUAAAACUAACAUUGCUAACCGCAAGGUAUACUGUUGAUUUACAACGUUUCUGGGUGAUAACAUUGAUUCAGUUAAACAGCCAUAAGAUUGGAAAAAAUGUCAAAAAUGAUAAAUUUCCAUCGAAAGCAUGAGUGCACAUGAAACUAUGUUCAAACAUAAGGGCAACUUUGUAAAGGCCAGAGUUUUGGAGUUCCUGGAAUGCCCCUUUUCCCAACCUUCAUAAUUUCAAGGCUUAGGUGUUCCAGUUGUAUAUGUGUGGGUGACUCUUUCUGCUGGGUUCCCUGGGUCCUUGUUGGGUAGCAUCAGACUAGCCGGUUAGGCAGGCCCUGUGGUUCUUGGAGGAGUCACAGAGAUGACGAGGAAGGUGUAAGGGCCAAGGCUUAGUACAGGACAGCCCUUGGGUGGGGACGCGGAAGUCAGAGUGCAGUUUCCUGACGUUAAGUGCAGUUCCUGCUGGACAGCAGGUGCUUGCCUCCUAUGUUGGCUCACUGCCCUCCCAGAGAGUGAGCCCUUCCUUAAAUUUGGUGCCCCCAGCCCUUCACUCCCCCUUAGCCUGGGCCCAGCCCUGCUCAUGGAUGUACCAUUGGGUUAGCCAGUUACCCCAUUUUCUCUUCUUUUCUCUGAAGGAGAAACUAUUAUUUUUUGCCCAGAGAAUCCAGAAAGCGGGUCUUUAAGUUGGUUCUUGUAUGUAAGGCUUCACUUGGCCAGUGCUAUCACAGAUUUGUACGUGAGUGUAAGUUAGAAAAUACUUAGUUUAUGCAUUUGAAGCUGUUUGAUUUAUACGUAGAAUUUUAGGAACGUAAGCGUUGUGAGAACAGUUUAGAUCAAUAAGUACAUAUACCGUGACUGUGACUGCGAGGUUUUCCAGUGUGCCCAGGGGAUAUUCUGAUUUGUUAUCUUCCUGCUGCUUUUAUUAAGGCUUUCUAAUCCUGUAAUUCACCUCCUGCUUUCUGUGGUGUGUUUCACGUUUGUGAUUGGUGUUAGGGUGAGAGGUGGCCGUGGGAGGUAUAUCACCACUGUCUUGAAAUGGGAAGAGAGGAGGAUUGGACAUCAACUGUAGCUUUGAGACAGCAUUUUAUAUUUGCAGGUUGGGAGAGACCACGAUUUCUUGGUAUUUAUUAGUUAUAAAAAUAUAAGUAAUAGACCAAUCCGGGUUUUACAUAUGCACCACACCAAAUCCUGGAGCCAGGGCUAUUGGUUCAGUGUAACUUCUGACAACGAUCUACAUUCAUAUUGACUUCAGAAAUAUGGUAAUUUAUAUUAGCAGGAAUCUAAGUAUUGUCAGGGAAGCUUUGGGCAUUUUUUAUAUGUAAACUGUUAAGAAUUUGGUAUACAUCUCGCCUACCUAUAAUUAAAGCUUGCAUUUUAGAAUCAUUUGAAUGGCCUUUUAAAGUAAAAUUAAUUUAUAUUGGUAGGUAUAAGACCGAGUUGUCUUUACCUUAAUUCAUUCCUUUGUAGCAGCGAUUCUCAACCAUAAGUGAUUCUUGUUUCUCGGGGACAUUUGGCAACGUCUGGAGACAUUUUUGGUUAUUACAACUUGAGGACGUACUGCUGGCGUCCAGUGGGCAGAGGCCAGGGGUGCUGCUUCACAUCCUGGGAUGCCCUCUCUGACAAAGGCUUACCUGGCCCCGAAUUUCAGUAGUGCCAAGGUUGAGAAACCAUGCUUUAUAGGCUUUAUAACGAAGUAUGGUUUCUGUCCUCCUUUGUGUUUUCCAUUCCCUCUGCCGUCUCCUAGUCUCAGAUGAACCAGCAUGGCUAGUGUUCUUGGCGUGGUAUGUAGUGGACUGAUCUCAGACGGCCCCGUUCGCCGCCCUUCCCUGUGAGCAUCGUCUUUGCAGGGCGACUUUCCUGUUUCCCUUGUGAGUGCAGGUUGUGAGUUGUACCUGUGCCUCUCUUUGGACAAUAGCGUAUGUUGGAAAUGAUGUUGAGACCAGGUCUUAAACGGUCUUUCAUACUUCUCUCUUGCGCACAAGCCCAUGCUUGCCUGGCUUGCCUGCUGGUUACCUGUUGCCUCUGUUGUCCCGCUGACACCUAGUUAGUCACCAGACGUGGGCCGUGGGAAAGAGGCCAUCCUGGAGCAGCCAGCCUGCAGCCAGCGUGGCCGUUUGACUGCAGAUGCAUGCGUGGCCGAGAUGCUCAGUCUUGCCCAGCACAGCAGAACUGCUCAGAUGACCUGUAGACACAGGAGCAAUAAUAAAUGGCAGGAUAUCUCCAGGGGAAAGGUGGGAAGGGAAAAGCAGGUCGCAAAAUGCGUGGGGCUGUUACAUCUGUGCUGCUGGAGAAGUCUCAGCAAGUUGCUUACUGGUAGGAGUGGCCCUCCGAGUGUGGCUUGAUUUCUGUUUAAGGACUGUGGCUGGGUGGUUCCCUAUAAAUCCAAGCAGCAAGCAAGUAGAUUUAGCAGGUGUUUUUAAAUAAAGGAAAAUGCUAUCCAAAUUUAAAACUGAAUACAACUUAUUAGAAAGAAUCUAACAUAAAAUUUAAGGUUUUGCCCUCAAGAGAAACAUUGCAGAUUUUUUUCUUUUUGAUGUAUAUAUUUAUAAGACUCUGGAUGAAAUACUCUGCUCCUCUUAACUUGCUCACAAUAGGGCACUGGUUCCCAAACAGGACACUGCUGCGCUCAAAGGGGACAGAAAACCUCCCAGGACCCUCGCACACUCCAGGCCCGGACAGGCACCUGUUCAGACUCACCUGCCAGCUCAGAAGGGUAAUGACUGUGCAGCGCGCCAGCUGCUCUGGGUCUCAGAUCUGCUCAUCACGUUCCGCAGCCUUGAGAUCCAGAAAAGUAAGAUGAUGGAUAUGAGCCUCCUCACACCUCUCCCCAUGCCUGAGAGCAUCACUAGGUAACACGUGCAAACCAGCGAGCUGAACCUCUUAGUACACACAGUGCCGAGCCCUGCCAUUAGCAAAGGCAGGACCUCUGUCACCGUCAGCCAGGAGGUUAAAAGCAUAAGCAUUUAUUAACUCCAAUUAGAAUAAUCACAAUACAAAUUACUGCAAUCCUGUUAAGAUGGUAAUAAAGAUACGAAACUUUAAGCUCCGUGUUUUUCAAGUACGGAAAGUAUAAUUUGAAAGCAUGUUGAAUAUGCCAGCAUUUUAUUAAAAUCAAUACAAAAUAUUUAAAUUCCAAUUGUAUAGUGAAAUGUAAUUUUAAAAUAGUUUGCUAUAAUAGGAAUUUGACUGUAAAAACAAUACUUAAAGCAUAGUAAUUAAUAUGAAAACUCCUUCUUGCUUCAUGCCAAAUUCAAACUAGACUUCAUAUACAUCUACUUGACUGGUAUGAAAUAUGUGAAAAAUUCAAAAUUGCUUUUAAGAGUUACUAAAUAUUUCUAAAAUAUGAAAACUGUAAUUAAACUAAUUAACCAAUUUAGAAAUCCAUCAAUUAAUUUUCAACCCCAACCAAGGGUAUUUCCCAGAAAGGUGUCUGUCAUACAAUAUUAAUAAUUCCAAAACCAAUUUAAAAUAUUCAAAAUAACAAAAAUAGCAAAACUGAAUCACUUGUUAUUCAUUACUUUUUAAAAAACUUUGUUUUCUCUGUUUAUAGAAAAUGUAAGUCUUUAGAAAUUAUCAUUUAGAUUGUGAAAAUCUCCAUAUUUACAUAAAUGUGACACGUCAAGAUGUCCAAGAUAUAUUUAUUAUGUGAAAGAAGGGAUUUGGAGGACAGCCUAUUAAUAUAAUCCUUAUUUAGUUAGUGGAGAAUUGUUUUAAUUGGAAAAAUAUACACCAAAUUCUUUAUUAAACUCUUAAAAAUAGUUCUCUCUGUUGAAGGGGUGUGGGAAAAUGGGGCUCUCAAACAUGUUCCUGAAGCACACUUUAAGGGACGGAUUUGAAAGAUUUACGGCGGCGUCAUCCUGCAGGGUGAAUGAACACGUUCACCAGGACCCCUCGAUGUAGACGGUUUGCCUGCUGCACGCUGGCUGCACUGCCCUGUGAAGUGUCUCAGGUGGCGCGGGGAUGAAGGAAGAAUACAGCCAGUAAAGGCACCCUGCCUUCAAAGAGAAACCCCUCUUUGUUUAUUUCAGGGCCUCUCUGAGGAAAAUUUAUGAAAUUACAAAGAUUUGAAGCCAGCGUCUGAGAUAGCUAUCCGUAUCAAGUAGACAUUCGAGGAUAGUUUGCAGGUGCUCAGUGAUUAAGAUCUUAAACAGCACUGCCUGACGUAUAUUUGGAAUUUUUAGUUUUUGGGAAUAUCUCAGUUAUUUUCAUUUUUGCCAACUUAACCUGAGCAUGACAAAUGAAAAGUGUAUUAGAAAUUAAAAUAUUUCUACCAUGAUGAAGCACUUCAAAUAAUUUAUGAAUAGGUUGCCAAUAUAAAUUUAUCUGCUUUGUGGACAGUCAAGUUCAGAAAAAAUAUCUGUUUAAAAUAGAACCAAUCAGUUUUGUAAUGUUUCUUAUUAUUUAUACAUGAUAUGGUAUCAGAUAAUUUUGUUUUGAUUAUGUCAUUUUCAGUUGUUACACAAUAAUUGUUCAUAUAAUACAGUGAGGAAAUAUUUUACAGAUGUUGUGCUUUGUUAAGUAGUAUUUUUAUGAUUUUUAGAAACAUAAAUGUCAGUUUUCCUUUAGUAGAUUACUCCCUCCCCUUUCCCCACCACCCUUCAAAAAAGUGCCAGGGAAGAGGAGGGAGACUUUCCCUUUUUAUAUACCUUCUCUAGACUGUUGGCUCUUUCUAAAAACCAUCUGUGUAUAUUCAAUCGGUUAUCUAAACAAGUACAGUUCAGUCCUUAAGCAAAAGUUCUCUGUUUUCCUCACCUUCUUGUACCUCGACCACAGCCUUAUGCUUAAAAUGAAGGAAAUUUGGAGUUUAAGGUGGAAGCAGAGAAGGAUGUUCAUGGCGGCUGAUGAGAGUGGAGAGACCCACAUGGACCGGGGCCGAGCAGCACGUGUGACAGAGUGAUGUGUGUGGACAGGGCAGCUCCAUGUGUGCUGUCUUUGGGGUCCUGGGAUCGAUGCCAGGUUCACCCGUAGCUCCAGGCUGUGUAGGACUCAGCUCAGCUGUGGUUUUCCGUGAGAUUUCUCUGGCAGCUCCUUGAAUGUCUUUCAAUAAAUCCUGUUUUUCUUCAGGCA